AUUGAACGCUGGCGGCAUGCUUUACACAUGCAAGUCGAACGGCAGCACGGGGGCGAACCCUCGGUGGCGAGUGGCGAACGGGUGAGUAAUACAUAGGAACGUAUCCUGAAAUAGGGGGAGUAGCUCGGCGAAAGCCGGAUUAAUACCGCAUACGAUCCACGGAUGAAAGACAGGGGAGUUCGCAAGAACCUUGCGUUUCUGGAGCGGCCUAUGUCUGAUUAGCUAGUUGGCGGGGUAAAAGGACCCACCAAGGCGACGAUCAGUAGCUGGUCUGAGAGGAUGAUCAGCCACACUGGGACUGAGACACGGCCCAGACUCCUACGGGAGGCAGCAGUGGGGAAUUUUGGACAAUGGGGCGAACCCUGAUCCAGCCAUGCCGCGUGAGUGAAGAAGGCCUCGGUUGUAAGUA
rnacentral:rRNA from 1 species